rnacentral:rRNA from 1 species
UCUUGACCUCAGAUCAGGCAAGGCUACCCGCUGAAUUUAAGCAUAUCAAUAAGCGGAGGAAAAGAAACUAAC